AGCUGAGAUUGAAUUCUUCGCUUCCCUCGUAAAAGCUGACGGUUGGCUGACAGGAGAUCACAUUGAUUUGGGGUUGUAUCUCAUCCGGAAGCGACAACAAGAUUUGGAGGUUGUAGAAAUAUCGAACUGGACAACGACCGAUGUAUUUUUCAUGAAUCACAUCCAUACUUGCUUUGCGGAUAAUAAAAGAAAAAAAGAGCAGGCUGGGUGGAAAAUUAGAAACAGUUUAGUGAACGUUGUAAAUGGCAAGGUUCCGGCGUGUGGGGUGGAUUGGCAGAACGUGUAUAA